rnacentral:rRNA from 1 species
GGGUCUGUCCAUUGGUCGGGCUUCACGGUCCGUACUGGUGAGAUGGGUUCCUACCUUCUGAAUAACCGGCAUGCCAUUCAGUUGGUGCGCCGGGGAAGCAGAGCUAUUACCUUGAAAAAAUUAGAGUGCUUAAAGCAGGCUAUUGCUUGAAUAGAUUAGCAUGGAAUAAUAAAAUAGGACGGCAUGGUUCUAUUUUGUUGGUUUCUGAAUCACCGUA